UACGAAGGGGGCUAGCGUUGCUCGGAAUCACUGGGCGUAAAGCGCACGUAGGCGGCUUCUUAAGUCAGGGGUGAAAUCCUGGAGCUCAACUCCAGAACUGCCUUUGAUACUGAGGAGCUUGAGUCCGGAAGAGGUGAGUGGAACUCCGAGUGUAGAGGUGAAAUUCGUAGAUAUUCGCAAGAACACCAGUGGCGAAGGCGGCUCACUGGCCCGGUACUGACGCUGAGGUGACGAAGCGA
rnacentral:rRNA from 1 species